CUCCCGGCAACUGAACUUUUUCUCUCUUCCCUGAACCGGGAAAAUCGAAGAACAGUCCAGAACUGGUCUAACUCGUUGAGUAACUCGGAGAGCAGCAGAUCCAGUACAAACCUCUUGGUGUUUUACCAAAUGCAUUUGCUGGAGAAAAAGCUUUGGCCCAACACUAAAAGGGGUCGACCACAACCAUGCGUAUUUGUUGCUGUUUAAAAAGGGAGAUAGAGACUUGACAGCGACUUGGAAAUGAUCCAUGUCCUUCGAGAUAAUGCCUGGUGGAAUCAUGGGAUUUUGAGCUCAGCAUGUUACUCUGCAUAACUUCCGUAUCCCUGAAGUAAGAAGAUCAAGGUGCUCCACUAAUUCUACAGUUCUACCUUGGGUUAUUAGCACGAGGAGAAAAGUUGAAUUGGGUAACAUAAAUUAAUUACUUUUCAAAAGGCGCCUUAUUUAGAAAGUAAAUCGGUAACAACUUUAGAUGUUGCGUGCAUUCGUACUAUGAUUUAUCAAAUCCAUGUUUAGCCUUUUAUUAUAACUUUGUUUCUCGGGGAAUAAUGUUCAAUUAUCAUAACAGGUGCAGUUUUAGAACUAUUUUAGGCUGUUUUGCGUUGCCUUUGUCAAGACACAGACUAGAGAGAAAGAAAAAAACAUAAAAAAACAGAAAGUCUGAUAUAUAUUUCUUCUAAUAUGUCAAAAUUUUAGUUUGUUUAUCUUUUAGAAUUGUUAAUUCAAAUUACAUAUUUGAAUUCUUUAACGCUGGAAAAGACAUAGAUUGCACUGUUGUACCAAGAUCUGCACAUCAUAGGAUAAUGUAAGUUUUAUGUUAUCUCUGUAAUUGCAUCCAAUUAACUCAACUUCUGAAUUGAUGCUCUAUUGAUUUCUAAUAUGUGUUUUUCUUUUAAUGUAAUAAAAGGGAGAGGAGGAUCAACCAAUAGCAAUUUUAGUAACCCCAACGCGAAUGCAUUUUUUGCUUGUAUAUCAUUUUUCAUGCACCUGUGUUUUCUUGGUCCCCCACCUACAGGACUGCAUUGUUUCUUUUCCUUCAAACAUGGCCCAAGGUCUAGUAUGAUGAACUAGGGAAGAAGAAAAGGUAGAAAUAGAACGAAAACUGAGUGCUGUCAGUGGCGUACGAAUGUCAUAAUUGCUUUAAAGUAAUAAGUAAAUGGCCCCAAGCAUGCCCAAGUUAUGCAGGAUUUCUUUUAUCUCAGAAGAGUAUGAGUAAGAACUAUGCAACAAAUUAUUGUUGUCGAAUACUGCUUUUGUUUCUUGUUGUUACAGUUGAAGUUCAUAUCAUUUAUUGCUUUAGUGUGCCCUUGGAUAGAAUAGAUUGUUCCAUGAAGCUCUAUUUGAUUAUAUCAUUCUAAUACUCGAAAGAGAUUAGACGUAUAUAGCCUGUUUGCUUUUAGCAGUUGGUGCCACUUGGAGACUGCAAUUACCCUAACCCUAAAACCCAAAGGUAAGGAUGAUGAUGGGGUUGCCCACUAAACCAAAAAAAGGAGAAGGUUUUUAUUAUAUGACCCGAAAUGGUGUAUUCUGGGUGGGAAAAAGGUGGAAGUAGUGGCAAGAAACUUUAUGGAACAUAUUAGUCGUAUCAAACACUGUUUUUCCACUGAAGUACGUUCUUCGUCUGCAUUUCUUCUAAUCGAUUGGAACAUUUUAGUUGUAUUCAAAUAUAGAAAACCCUAGAAACCGUCACUGCUAAAAACUUCGAACCAUUUGUGAAGAUCCGUCUGUUACAGUAGUGUUCAAUUAGUUCAUAGAGUCCACUGAAAUUUCCCUUUCUAGGCACCUGGACUUUUUGCAGGGGUUUAGCUCAACUUAGAACAAAACAUGAGUCAUCUGCUGUAUGUUAAAGACCAAACAAAUGAUGUGGAUUUUGUAUGUUUCAGAGGAAACACAAACAAUGCAAAAUUCAGGUUAUGGAUUAUGAUAGAUGAUUCAUCCAGAACAAGAUAACGCUAUUUUAUAAAACACCUGUACUCUUUAGUCUAAUGCUCUAAUACUAUUAGGUCUAGCUGUCAUGAGAUUAUUAGCCUAACCACGUAUUUAGCUGAUAAGAAAGUGCAAAUACUCGGUUAAAUUUCACGAAAGGCCGAAAUUUUCGGCCAAUUAAUGAUUCUCUUCCCACUAAGUCUAAAUUAAUCUACAUCUUUGUUGUAUCUUUAGCUUAUACUGGCCUAAGAAUGCCAUCAUAGAAAACCCUUUGAUUAAUUGUUGUAUUAAAUAAUGAUUAUAUAUGAUAAAUUAAAAAAUUAUGGUGUUAAUGUGUUGAUGUAUUCAUUCACUUUGUCUUUGUGUAUUGAGGGGACCAUGUGUUGCUGCUUAGCAGAAAGGGAAAGUUCACCCCUUCUUUUCUUUCUUUUGUGCUGGAAUGUUGGUGUUCUGAGCUGCUUUUAUUGAUGGUUUUACAAAUUUUUAAUUCGCAGAAUUGAUAACCACACACCGUUUUUCUCCCUCGACGCUCAUGUUUGAUUUUGCUUCUUGUUUCUGUUAGAUUUAUUCAAUCCGAUGAGUCCAUAUAAUCUCCUUUUUAACUUUUUUGACUUUUUUGGCUCUAUGUUUUGCUUUGCAGAGGUAGGCCUAUAUUGCCUUGAUUAUGUAUUGCUUAAAGCCUCCCCCCGUGUGGCACAUCUUUAUGAACUUUGGUUCUUCUCCAAUACAUUUCCAGAACCCUGUUUCUGCAACUUUUGUUCUGUCAGUGCUUAGAAAACGAAAUCAUUGGAACACUUUGGAUCCUUCAAUCUUUAUCUUUCUGUUUUUCCUAUUUUUUCUUAUAUGGUACAUACUGCUUAGUGGUCCGAAAAUCAACAGUUUAAAUCUUGCAUAUGAAUUGUAAACCGUACUAUUGAGUGGGACGUAAUAUUGUAGCCAAACCCCAACAGAAGUGGGUUCUUAGUAAUAUGUAUUGAUUAUGGUAACAUUGUUUCUUUUCUUUUUGUUCUUUGGUCGAGCGGAUGGAUUUGAACUUGGGAUCUCUUCAAACUUUAAGAAGAGAGAAAUUUCUAUAUAAGUCAUUGUAAAUGAUAAA